rnacentral:rRNA from 1 species
UUUGCCCUACGGGGCGCAGCAGUAGGGAAUUUUCGUCAAUGGGCGCAAGUCUGAACCAGCCAUGCCGCGUGCAGGAAGACGGCUCUAUGAGUUGUAAACUGCUUUUGUACGAGGGUAAACGCAGAUACGUGUAUCUGUCUGAAAGUAUCGUACGAAUAAGGAUCGGCUAACUCCGUGCCAGCAGCCGCGGUAAUACGGAGGAUUCAAGCGUUAUCCGGAUUUAUUGGGUUUAAAGGGUGCGUAGGCGGUCGGAUAAGUUAGAGGUGAAAUCCCGAGGCUCAACUUCGGAAUUGCCUCUGAUACUG